rnacentral:rRNA from 1 species
UACGUAGGGGGCAAGCGUUGUCCGGAAUCAUUGGGCGUAAAGCGCGUGUAGGCGGCCCGGUAAGUCCGCUGUGAAAGUCGGGGGCUCAACCCUCGAAUGCCGGUGGAUACUGUCGGGCUAGAGUACGGAAGAGGCGAGUGGAAUUCCUGGUGUAGCGGUGAAAUGCGCAGAUAUCAGGAGGAACACCAAUGGCGAAGGCAGCUCGCUGGGACGGUACUGACGCUGAGACGCGAAAGCGUGGGGAGCAAACAGG